rnacentral:rRNA from 1 species
GAUGAACGCUGGCGGCGUGCCUAAUACAUGCAAGUCGAGCGAACAGACGAGGAGCGUGCUCCUCUGACGUUAGCGGCGGACGGGUGAGGAACACGUGGAUAACCGACCGAUAAGGCUGGGAUAACGUCGGGAAACCUGAUCUAAUAUCGGAUAAGAGAGUGAAACGCAUGGUUCUAUAGUGAAAGAGGUAUUUGCUGUCACUUAUAGGUGUAUCCGCGCCGCAUUAGCUAGUUGGUAAGGUAACGGCUUACCAAGGCGACGAUGCGUAGCCGACCUGAGAGGGUGAUCGGCCACACUGGAACUGAGACACGGUCCAGACUCCUACGGGAGGCAGCAGUAGGGAAUCUUCCGCAAUGGGCGAAAGCCUGACGGAGCAACGCCGCGUGAGUGAUGAAGGUCUUCGGAUCGUAAAACUCUGUUAUUAGGGAAGAACAAAUGUGUAAGUAACUAUGCACGUCUUGACGGUACCUAAUCAGAAAGCCACGGCUAACUACGUG